rnacentral:rRNA from 1 species
CGGACGGGUGAGUAACACGUGAGCAACCUGCCUAUCAGAGGGGGAGUAACGUUCUGAAAAGAACGCUAAUACCGCAUGAAGUACGAAAGGGACAUCCCAUUUGUACCAAAGGAGCAAUCCGCUGAUAGAUGGGCUCGCGUCCGAUUAGGUAGUUGGUGAGGUAACGGCUCACCAAGACCGCGAUCGGUAGCCGGACUGAGAGGUUGAACGGCCACAUUGGGACUGAGACACGGCCCAGACUCCUACGGGAGGCAGCAUG